rnacentral:rRNA from 1 species
GUCCACACGGUAAACGAUGGAUACUCGCUGUUGGCGAUACACUGUCAGCGGCUUAGCGAAAGCGUUAAGUAUCCCACCUGGGGAGUACGCCGGCAACGGUGAAACUCAAAGGAAUUGACGGGGGCCCGCACAAGCGGAGGAACAUGUGGUUUAAUUCGAUGAUACGCGAGGAACCUUACCCGGGCUUGAAUUGCAGACGAAUUAUCCGGAAACGGAUAAGCCGCAAGGCGUCUGUGAAGGUGCUGCAUGGUUGUCGU